rnacentral:snoRNA from 2 species
GAUCAAGUGAUGAGCAAUUAACUGCUCCAACGAUAUGAUUGGAGUUAUUCUCCUAUGAUUCCCAAGUAUUUAAGUCUAUGAUGAUC